rnacentral:lncRNA from 1 species
GGAAGAGGAGGGGGAGGAGGAGGAGGAGGAAGGCGAACUCCCUUUGGAGAAAGGACAGAGGGCGCUUGUGCUGGUGCCUGUCCUUGCCUGCAGCGCAGCCGCGGGUCUCAGCAGGCCACGCUCGGAGGGACGUCGCAGAGAAUGAGGACUUGGAGGGAAGAGAAAAGAAAGCCCCAUUUCGCCAGCUGCCAUGCCCAACCCUCUGCAGCCCGGGUUGCUUCUUGAAAUUACCAACUGCCACCAUGUUGGCGGCGAAAGCCCUUCCCCCGGGUUGAUCACCGUCUCUGCCUGUCAGAAUCCUCUUGACUCCGGAAACCUUUGGUGGAGAUGUUAGACCCCCACAUAGAAGCUGCGUCAUCUGGACCAUCUGGCCCAGACUCGAAGGAACAAGGUAAGCUGAUGUCCCACCUGCCACCUCCAGGGCCCCCGCAGAGCCUUCCUCGAUGGCCGGUCUGACUGC